rnacentral:rRNA from 1 species
GACGAACGCUGGCGGCGUGCUUAACACAUGCAAGUCGAACGGAAAGGCCCUGCUUUUGUGGGGUGCUCGAGUUGCGAACGGGUGAGUAACACGUGAGUAACCUGCCCUUGACUUUGGGAUAACUUCAUGAAACUGGGGCUAAUACCGGAUAGGAGCUCCUGCUGCAUGGUGGGGGUUGGAAAGUUUCGGCGGUUGGUGAUGGACUCGCGGCUCAUCAGCUUGUUGGUGGGGUAGUGGCUUACCAAGGCCUUGACGGGUAGCCGGCCUGGGAGGGUGAGCGGACAAACUGCGACUGGGCUGAGGCACAGCCUCGUACGGGAGGGAGCGGUGGGGAAGAUUACACAAUGGGCGGAGGCCUGGUGUAGCAACGCCGCGUGGGGGAUGACGUCAUGCGGUUAGUGAUCCGAAGUCGCCUUUGCCGAAGUGUGAGUGACGGUACCGGGUAAAGAAGCACCGGCUAACUACGUG